CAGCCGCCACGGGAAUACGGAGGAUCCGAGCGUUACCCGGAAUUAUUGGGUUUAAAGGGUGCGUAGGCGGAUAGAUAAGUCAGUGGUGAAAGACGGUGGCUCAACCAUCGCAGUGCCGUUGAUACUGUUUAUCUUGAAUAUGGAUGAGGUAGGCGGAAUGUGGCAAGUAGCGGUGAAAUGCAUAGAUAUGCCACAGAACACCGAUUGCGAAGGCAGCUUACCAAGGCAAAAUUGACGCUGAGGCACGAAAGCGUGGGGAUCGAACAGGAUUAGAUACCCCAGUAGUCCCUGUCUCUUAUAC
rnacentral:rRNA from 1 species